rfam:Perkinsus marinus ATCC 50983 gcontig_1104296740698, whole genome shotgun sequence.
AGCAGCUUGGCGCGGUGGAUAGCGUGUUAGGCUCAUAACCCAAAGGUUUCUUGAUCGAAACAAAGAACUGCUA